rnacentral:rRNA from 1 species
UACGGGGGGGGGCAAGCGUUGUUCGGAAUUACUGGGCGUAAAGGGCUCGUAGGCGGCCAACUAAGUCAGACGUGAAAUCCCCCGGGCUCAACCUGGGAAUUGCGAUGGAGACUGCAAGGCUAGAAUCUGGCAGAGGGGGGUAGAAUUCCACGUGUAGCAGUGAAAUGCGUAGAGAUGUGGAGGAACACCGAUGGCGAAGGCAGCCCCCUGGGUCAAGAUUGACGCUCAUGCACGAAAGCGUGGGGAGCAAACGAGG